GGCCCCAGGAGGGCAUAUGAUACAGACAAUAUUAUUGUAAACAAUAACAUAUGCAAUACACACACAGUAAAAGAUAUGUAACAAGUGUUAUAAAAAUGAUAAAAUAAAAUAAUAUAACACAGAAAAUACACUCAACAAAAUAGUAGCAAUGUAUUAUUAUUCAAUGAAUAGUAUACUAUGUUGAAAAUGACUCAAGUGCACCCGGUAAGUGUAUCUUUACUUUGAGAAGACAAACAUGAGGCAUUAGUAGUUUGUGCGGAGA
rnacentral:lncRNA from 1 species